UGCUUUUGAUGGACGAAUAUAGCCCAUGUCCAUCAACUCCUUCAGUUGCCUCCGUAAUUCCUAAAGCUCCGGAGGCGCCAUCCUAUAAGGCACGGUAGCUGGCGGGGUGGCACCUGGUUCCAGCUCUAUCUUAUGAUCCACCUUCCUUUUAGGUGGUAACCUCUUUGGUAGCUCCGGUGGCAUGACGUCUUGGAAGUCCUCAAAAACGUGCUGGACCUUGGGUGGCAUGGACUCGGUUGUAGGAAUGACAGCUUCUUCCUUUAAG
rnacentral:lncRNA from 1 species